GACGUAGGGCGCGAGCGUUGUCCGGAUUUAUUGGGCGUAAAGAGCUCGUAGGCGGCUUGUCGCGUCGACUGUGAAAUCCCGCGGCUCAACUGCGGGUCUGCAGUCGAUACGGGCAGGCUAGAGUUCGGUAGGGGAGACUGGAAUUCUUGGUGUAGCGGUGAAAUGCGCAGAUAUCAGGAGGAACACCGGUGGCGAAGGCGGGUCUCUGGGCCGAUACUGACGCUGAGGAGCGAAAGCGUGGGGAGCGAACAGG
rnacentral:rRNA from 1 species